GAUGAACGCUGGCGGCGUGCCUAAUACAUGCAAGUCGAGCGAACAGACGAGGAGCUUGCUCCUCUGACGUUAGCGGCGGACGGGUGAGUAACACGUGGAUAACCUACCUAUAAGACUGGGAUAACUUCGGGAAACCGGAGCUAAUACCGGAUAAUAUAUUGAACCGCAUGGUUCAAUAGUGAAAGACGGUUUUGCUGUCACUUAUAGAUGGAUCCGCGCCGCAUUAGCUAGUUGGUAAGGUAACGGCUUACCAAGGCAACGAUGCGUAGCCGACCUGAGAGGGUGAUCGGCCACAAUGGAACUGAGACACGGUCCCGACUCCUACGGGAGGCAGCAGUAGGGAAUCUUCCGCAAUGGGCGAAAGCCUGACGGGGCAACGCCGCGUGAGUGAUGAAGGUCUUCGGAUCGUAAAACUCUGUUAUUAGGGAAGAAAAAAAGUGUAAGUAACUAUGCACGUCUUGAAGGUACCUAAUCAGAAAGCCACGGCUAAAUACGUGC
rnacentral:rRNA from 1 species